GAUGAACGCUAGCUACAGGCUUAACACAUGCAAGUCGAGGGGCAGCAUGGUCUUAGCUUGCUAAGGCCGAUGGCGACCGGCGCACGGGUGAGUAACACGUAUCCAACCUGCCGUCUACUCUUGGACAGCCUUCUGAAAGGAAGAUUAAUACAAGAUGGCAUCAUGAGUCCGCAUGUUCACAUGAUUAAAGGUAUUCCGGUAGACGAUGGGGAUGCGUUCCAUUAGAUAGUAGGCGGGGUAACGGCCCACCUAGUCUUCGAUGGAUAGGGGUUCUGAGAGGAAGGUCCCCCACAUUGGAACUGAGACACGGUCCAAACUCCUACGGGAGGCAGCAGUGAGGAAUAUUGGUCAAUGGGCGAGAGCCUGAACCAGCCAAGUAGCGUGAAGGAUGACUGCCCUAUGGGUUGUAAACUUCUUUUAUAAAGGAAUAAAGUCGGGUAUGGAUACCCGUUUGCAUGUACUUUAUGAAUAAGGAUCGGCUAACUCCGUGCCAGCAGCCGCGGUAAUACGGAGGAUCCGAGCGUUAUCCGGAUUUAUUGGGUUUAAAGGGAGCGUAGAUGGAUGUUUAAGUCAGUUGUGAAAGUUUGCGGCUCAACCGUAAAAUUGCAGUUGAUACUGGAUAUCUUGAGUGCAGUUGAGGCAGGCGGAAUUCGUGGUGUAGCGGUGAAAUGCUUAGAUAUCACGAAGAACUCCGAUUGCGAAGGCAGCCUGCUAAGCUGCAACUGACAUUGAGGCUCGAAAGUGUGGGUAUCAAACAGGAUUAGAUACCCUGGUAGUCCACACGGUAAACGAUGAAUACUCGCUGUUUGCGAUAUACUGCAAGCGGCCAAGCGAAAGCGUUAAGUAUUCCACCUGGGGAGUACGCCGGCAACGGUGAAACUCAAAGGAAUUGACGGGGGCCCGCACAAGCGGAGGAACAUGUGGUUUAAUUCGAUGAUACGCGAGGAACCUUACCCGGGCUUAAAUUGCAGAUGAAUUACGGUGAAAGCCGUAAGCCGCAAGGCAUCUGUGAAGGUGCUGCAUGGUUGUCGUCAGCUCGUGCCGUGAGGUGUCGGCUUAAGUGCCAUAACGAGCGCAACCCUUGUUGUCAGUUACUAACAGGUUCCGCUGAGGACUCUGACAAGACUGCCAUCGUAAGAUGUGAGGAAGGUGGGGAUGACGUCAAAUCAGCACGGCCCUUACGUCCGGGGCUACACACGUGUUACAAUGGGGGGGUACAGAGGGCCGCUACCACGCGAGUGGAUGCCAAUCCCCAAAACCUCUCUCAGUUCGGACUGGAGUCUGCAACCCGACUCCACGAAGCUGGAUUCGCUAGUAAUCGCGCAUCAGCCACGGCGCGGUGAAUACGUUCCCGGGCCU
rnacentral:rRNA from 1 species